GUGACGUUAAAACACCGGUUUCCGUACGAUCACCGAAGUUAAGCAACGUCGAUCCUCGUCAGCACCUAGAUGGGUGACCUCUUGCGUAUACCAAAUGCCGUA